rnacentral:lncRNA from 1 species
GGAGCGUAUGGACGCAGUCCGAAGGGUGAUUAUGGACUGGAUGAAGAGCCUAAUGCAAUUCCCAUUUCUGAUGUUAUGGAGAUCUAGUCUCCUCUAGUUGGAUUAGACUUGUUAUCUUGGGUAUUCUUUCUUGUGGAACCUGUUUUCAGGCUUGUAUCGUACUGUUAUGCUUUCUAAAAAGCAGAGGUCAAUCCUCUUUUUAAAAAAAACAAAU